rnacentral:lncRNA from 1 species
AGAGUGCCCUGUGAGUGUGUAUGGUAAGGGUCUCUGUGCUGGAUCUCACAUGCUGGAGGGAAGCUAAGCAUGCGUGAGAGACAGAAGCAAGGGAGGGACACACGUGUGUAGACACCUCACUCUCUUGAUACCUAGUCUAUUCCUGAGACAUUAUUAAUCCUAAUCAUGUGUUAAUGGCCCAUUUUCUAGUACUGUAUCAAUUGCAAUUAAAUUGCAACAUGAGCUUAGGAGGGGGCAUUCAAGCCAUAGCAAUGUCCCAUCUUGAUACUAACGUGAGCAGAGAUACUCAGAUUCAUAUCUAUCGAGAUAGAAUAUGAAGUACAUGGCGGGAUGGGCUUGUGCUUGCCCUGCCUGGCUCAGCAAGAGAGAUGAUUACUGAUCUUGCAGGUGUUUCAUUGGAAGGACCUUGUAGAGCAUGUCCCCAGGAGCUGCCUUCCUAGCGGACUGGAGACUGGGUGUCCUCCAGGAGGGGUAAGUGUGAGAUGAUGCAGCAGACUACUACCUGAAGCAGAGAUGGCAAAGGCCAAGAAUUGAAUUUUGUGUGUGAUCACAGUCAUCUAACAAAUGACUAGUACCUUCUCGCACGUUCAGACAUUGCCCUCAUUGCAGAGAGGGUAAUCUCAACAGCUGUAUUCCUAUCUCUCUGUCACCAACUGAUAACUGAAAUGUACUCAAAUAGCUAGGCGAUGGCUUAGUAUAUUUGGGCACUUCCAAUCUUAUAAUGAAGAACAGCAGAGAGCUACACACAGAGAGCUCCUCUUCCUCCCUCCCUCCCACCCCCUUCUCUCUCCCUCUCCUUCCACUUACACCUGUUCCCAGUUCUUGUACCUUAUGGAAGCUCCAGGCUUACACAUUGCUAUACACUCUCUGUGUCUCCCCAUUAAUGCAUUUCUUCUGUGUAUAUAUGUACCUGUGUUCACAUUCUCCCGAUUUUUAAAGGCCACCGAUCAAUUUGAUUUGAGGACUACCCUUCAUGAUCUCAUUUUGCUUUAUAUCGCUGAGAUGAUCCAUUGUCCAGAAGAGUUCAGGAGGACACUGGGUGAUCUCCAUCAACUCUGAAAACACGGAGUCCUUCCUGAAAUACCUUCACAGUGAAAAGGACUACUUGUCAGAUGUCGAGGCCGGGAACCGGUUUGGAGAUUCUUGUGUGAUCGUUUGAGGGUGUAUGGACAUCCACAGAGUGUCACUGCUUAGCCAGUGUGGUCCAUCUUGUUAGACCAUGACUGUGCAUGCAUGGCCAGUCAGAAGCCUCUCAGGAGGUGACAUACAUGCUGGCAACACUGGGGAAUGGGCCACACAUGUCCUGGGUCACUCAUUCUCUUGACUUCCUUUACUAUGUUUUAUCUUUCAUCGUUCUAACAAAAUAUAUGAAUCUGGGUGCUGUA